rnacentral:rRNA from 1 species
UAAAAUAAUUAAGGGCACACAGGGAAUGCCUAGGUAGUAAGAGCCGAUGAAGGACGUGGUAAGCUGCGAUAAGCUUGGGUUAGCUGCAAACGAGCGCCAACCCCAAGAUUUCCGAAUGGAGCAAUCUGCUAAGAUGGAGUCUUAGCACGAAAGAGGGUACCGAGUGAACUGAAACAUCUAAGUAACUCGAGGAAAAGAAAGUAAAAACGAUUCCCCAAGUAGCGGCGAGCGAACGGGGAUGAGCCUAAACCAUAUAAGUGUCAAGGAUACAGCCGUUGCUUAUAUGGGGUUGUGGGAAGAACGUUUGAAGAACUGUAAGAUAUUCAACAUAUCUAAUGACCGAACUGGAACUAGUUGGAAAGCUAGAUCGUAGAAGGUGAUAAUCCUGUACAGGUAAACUCAUUAGAAUGUAUGUUCUCUCCCAAGUAACAUGGAACACGAGGAAUUCUGUGUGAAUCUGCGAGGACCAUAUCUCGUAAGGCUAAAUACUCUUACUAACCGAUAGCGUAUAGUACCGUGAGGGAAAGGUGAAAAGAACCCCGGGAGGGGAGUGAAAUAGAACCUGAAACUGUGUGCUUACAAGCGGUCAGAGCUCUUCGGAGUGAUGGCGUGCCUUUUGGAGAAUGAUCCUGCGAGUUACGUUCAGUGGCGAGGUUAAGUAUAACGGAGCCGAAGGGAAACCGAGUCUGAACAGGGCGACAUAGUCGCUGGGCGUAGACGCGAAACCUGGUGAUCUAAGCCUGUCCAGGGUGAAGCUGUGGUAAGACACAGUGGAGGCCCGAACUCACCGCCGUUGAAAAGUUGGGAGAUGAGGUAGGUUUAGGGGUGAAAAGCCAAUCGAACUAGGAGAUAGCUCGUUCUCUCCGAAAUGCAUUUAGGUGCAGCCUUGAGUGUUUAAUUAUGGGGGUAGAGCACUGAAUGAACUAGGGGGCAUAUUGCUUACUGAAUUCAAUCAAACUCCGAAUACCAUAAUUCAAAGCUCAGGAGUGAGACUAUGGGAAUUAACUUCCAUUGUCAAAAGGGAAACAACCCAGACCACCAGCUAAGGUCCCUAAUUAUAACUAAGUGGGAAAGGAGGUGGAGAUUCACAAACAACCAGGAGGUUGGCUUAGAAGCAGCCAUACAUUUAAAGAGUGCGUAAUAGCUCACUGGUCGAGAGUCUCUGCGCCGACAAUGUAACGGGGCUAAGUUAUAAACCGAAGCUGUGGAAUUGCGUAAGCAAUUGGUAGGAGAGCGUUCUGUAGGCCGUUGAAGGAGAAGCGUAAGCAACUCUGGAGGUAUCAGAAGUGAGAAUGCAGGAAUAAGUAGCGAGAAAGGGGGCGAGAAUCCCCCUCGCCGGAAGACCAAGGUUUUCAGGGUAAAGCUUGUCUUCCCUGAGUAAGCCGGGACCUAAGCCGAGGCUAAAAUGCGUAGGCGAAUGGAAAACAGAUUAAUAUUUCUGUGCCAGUUAUAUUUUGUGAUGGAGGGACGCAGAAGGGUAUGUGCGCGGGAGAACGGAAGUUCCCGUAAAAGCAUGUAGAGUGGUCUAGUAGGAAAAUCCGCUAGAUUAGACUUGAGGUGUGAUAUAUAGUCGUAAGAUGAAUGCACAAAUCCCACGCUGCCGAGAAAAGCUUCUAACGUUAAGGUAUAACUGCCCGUACCCGAAACCGACACAGGUGGUCAGGAUGAGAAAUCUAAGGCGGACAGGCUAACUCUCGUUAAGGAACUCUGCAAAAUUGCCCCGUAACUUUGGGAGAAGGGGUGCCCCUGGAUGUUAACAGCUACGCGCUGUAAAGCAUUUGGGGGUCGCAGUGAAGAGGCUCAAGCAACUGUUUAACAAAAACACAGGUCUAUGCUAAGCUGUAAGGCGAUGUAUAUGGGCUGACACCUGCCCAGUGCCGGAAGGUUAAGAGGAGGAGUGAGAGCUCCGAAUUGAAGCCCCGGUGAACGGCGGCCGUAACUAUAACGGUCCUAAGGUAGCGAAAUUCCUUGUCGGGUAAGUUCCGACCUGCACGAAUGGUGU